UACGGAGGGUGCAAGCGUUAAUCGGAAUUACUGGGCGUAAAGCGUGCGCAGGCGGUUUGUUAAGUCCGUUGUGAAAUCCCCGAGCUCAACUUGGGAAUUGCAGUGGAUACUGGCAAGCUGGAGUAUGGUAGAGGAAGGUGGAAUUCCGGGUGUAGCGGUGGAAUGCGUAGAGAUCCGGAAGAACACCAGUGGCGAAGGCGGCUCGCUGGGCUUUACCUGACGCUGAGGCGCGAAAGCGUGGGGAGCGAACCGG
rnacentral:rRNA from 1 species